GACGAACGCUGGCGGCGUGCUUAACACAUGCAAGUCGAACGGAAAGGCCCUGCUUUUGUGGGGUGCUCGAGUGGCGAACGGGUGAGUAACACGUGAGUAACCUGCCCUUGACUUUGGGAUAACUUCAGGAAACUGGGGCUAAUACCGGAUAGGAGCUCCUGCUGCAUGGUGGGGGUUGGAAAGUUUCGGCGGUUGGGGAUGGACUCGCGGCUUAUCAGCUUGUUGGUGGGGUAGUGGCUUACCAAGGCUUUGACGGGUAGCCGGCCUGAGAGGGUGACCGGCCACAUUGGGCCUGAGAUACGGCCCAGACUCGUACGGGAGGCAGCAGUGGGGAAUAUUGCACAAUGGGCGGAAGCCUGAUGCAGCAACGCCGCGUGCGGGAUGACGGCCUUCGGGUUGUAAACCGCUUUCGCCUGUGACGAAGCGUGAGUGACGGUAAUGGGUAAAGAAGCACCGGCUAACUACGU
rnacentral:rRNA from 1 species